rnacentral:rRNA from 1 species
CAACCCAAUACCAAGCAAUUCUAUAUCUCUAUAGAAUCUUUUAUGUUAAAACUAGUAACAAGAAGGGGCCCCCCUUCUCUUCAAUGCAAGCAUAAAUCAGCCAGGACCAACCACUGAUAAUUAACAUCCAUGAGUUUACAGUAAAAACGCCACAAGAAAACCCUACUACACUUCAUGUUAACCUAACACAAGAGCAUUUUAAGAAAGAUUAAAAGGAUAAGANGGAACUCGGCAAAUAUUAACCUCGCCUGUUUACCAAAAACAUCGCCUCUUGAUAAUAUAAGAGGUCCAGCCUGCCCAGUGACUUUGUUCAACGGCCGCGGUAUCCUAACCGUGCNAAGGUAGCGUAAUCACUUGUUCUUUAAAUGAGGACUAGUAUGAAUGGCAUCACGAAGGUUAUACUGUCUCCUUUCCCUAAUCAGUGAAACUAAUCUUCCCGUGAAGAAGCGGGAAUAAACCUAUAAGACGAGAAGACCCUAUGGAGCUUUAAACAAAUACACAAUUGCCCUUCCUUAUAAUAAAUCUCAGGAAAAUUUCCCCCCUCUACUCGGACACUUUGAUGUAUAGUUUUAGGUUGGGGUGACCACGGAGUAAAAACUAACCUCCGCAGUGAACGGGGCCUCCCCCUUAACUAAGAGCUACAACUCUAAGAAACAAUAAAUUGACACCCAUUGACCCAAAUAUUAAUUUGAUCAAUGAACCAAGUUACCCUAGGGAUAACAGCGCAAUCCACUUCAAGAGCCCCUAUCGACAAGUGGGUUUACGACCUCGAUGUUGGAUCAGGGUAUCCCAGUGGUGCAGCCGCUACUAAAGGUUCGUUUGUUCAACGAUU